rnacentral:rRNA from 1 species
CCUACGGGAGGCAGCAGUGAGGAAUAUUGGUCAAUGGGCGGGAGCCUGAACCAGCCAAGCCGCGUGAGGGAAGAAGGUACAGCGUAUCGUAAACCUCUUUUGUCAGGGAACAAAGGCGGGGACUAGUCCCCGGAUGAGGGUACCUGAAGAAACAGCAUCGGCUAACUCCGUGCCAGCAGCCGCGGUAAUACGGAGGAUGCGAGCGUUAUCCGGGUUUAUGGGGGUUAAAGGGUGCGCAGGCGGCCUGUUAAGUCAGCGGUAAAAGCCCGGGGCUCAACCCCGGCGAGCCGUUGAAACUGGCGGGCUGGAGUUGGGGAGAGGUACGCGGAAUGCGCGGUGUAGCGGUGAAAUGCUUAGAUAUCGCGCAGAACCCCGAUUGCGAAGGCAGCGUACCGGCUCCACACUGACGCUGAGGCACGAAAGCGUGGGUAUCGAACAGGAGUAGAUACCCCAGUAGUC